rnacentral:rRNA from 1 species
AGCGUUUUGGACCCACCUGAUUCCAUCCCGAACUCAGAAGUGAAACGAAACAGCGUCGAUGGUAGUGUGGGGUUUCCCCAUGUGAGAGUAGAAC